rnacentral:rRNA from 1 species
UUUUGAGCAAAAUCUUUAGCUCGAUUAACUAACAUAACCCAACUAAACCAUAAUAUUUAUUAAAACCAAACUAAAACAUUCUCAUUAAUCCUAGUACGGGCGACAGAAAAGAU